rnacentral:rRNA from 1 species
AACGAACGCUGGCGGCAUGCCUAACACAUGCCAGUCGAACGAGACCUUCGGGUUUAUUGGCGCACGGGUGCGUAACGCGUGGGAACCUGCCCUUAGGUUCGGAAUAACUCCCCGAAAGGGGUGCUAAUACCGGAUAAUGUCUUCGGACCAAAGAUUUAUCGCCUUUGGAUGGGCCCGCGUUGGAUUAGCUAGUUGGUAGGGUAAAAGCCUACCAAGGCGACGAUGCAUAGCUGGUCUGAGAGGAUGAUAAGCCACACUGGGACUGAGACACGGCCCAGACUCGUACGGGAGGCAGCAGUGGAGAAUAUUGGAGAAUGGGGGAAAGCCUGAUAAAGCAAUGCCGGGUGAGUGAUGAAGGCCGUAGGGUUGUAAAGCUCUUUUACCCGAGAUGAGAAUGACAGUACCGGGAGAAUAAGCUCCGGCUAACUCCGUG